AAAAAAAAAAAGGAACCCCGCAAAUUCUAAAUAGCUGAUGAGGUUGUGAAGAGGGUUAGUAAUUGAAGGCCUACCAAUGACGUCGCCGUCUUGGUUGGGGUUCUGAGAAUUCCCUCGGGAACAGAAAGGUCUAAGAAGAUAGUAUUUAUUAAAGGAAGAAAUGAAAAUUUGGUUAAUCUUGACGUCUAGAGGGUAUAAACGAAGGGAGACGAGCUUGAAGAUCCAUUUGCAUCCAAA
rnacentral:misc_RNA from 1 species